GGUACUUGUUCUUGAGCAAAAUGGGAACUUGGGACAUUGUAGAACAUAAUUGGGAAGAAGUUGGACUGGAAGAAGAAGAAUUGGACCACUAAAUCGAAGCACCAAGUAAGAUCAGUGUUACUGUCAGUGACUGACGAACUGAAUAUCAGUUUCAGUAAACUUCAAAGGAAUCCGAGAAACAAAAUCAAAAUUCAAUUGUAUUUGAUGAUUAUCUCGAGUCAGAACCAAAACAAAAGAUGAAGGGUUUGAGUUUAUCUUCAACUUCUGUUAAGGCGCUUGGAGGCCGUCGGAUUGGAGAUCGACCGCAAUUCAACUCUGAAGAUCACGGGCGUUAGAGAAGAAAAGAGGAGCGGUGACAGAGCAACAAGACGUGUCGCCGCCGCCGUCGUCGGUCGCUCGCCAGCACGUCUAGCUAGGCCACCUCCUCACCACAUAAGCCUACGGGUAGGCCACGGUGUCGCCCAUGCGUGCGGUGAAACACUUGAAUAUCUACCGCUCCCGCGCCGCCGUUUUCACCGCCGUCCUUUUACCGCCGCCAGCGCCUCCUCUGCUGAACACCGCCGCCGAGAAAAAUUCCGCCGCCACACCGCAGCUCCCGUCGAUUCUUUCCGUCCACACCUCCGCCUACACCCCACCAGCAACCUUAGCAACUUGUUGCCCAGCCUUCUCGCCGUCACGCCUUGAACCACCGCCGUUUCUGUCCGCCGUCGUCGCGCCGCCCGCUCACGGUGAGCACCACCUCGCGCUGCUUCUCUUCCUUCUUGAGUAAUCGUAGUCGAGUCCUUAGGGUCCUAGGAUGGUGUAAGGGUAGCUGUUUGAGUCGGUUGUGCCGUCAUCGUGAAUAGCCACGACCGGCCGAGGGAGUCGCCGCCCGUCGCCGUGGAGGGGAUGGCUCCGGCCAUCUCCCAAGGAGCUGUUGCCGCGCACGGGUGCGUGAAGGUGUAGGGGUGCCGUCCUUGUCUAGCUUCGCUGCCGGUGGGGCGCCGGCUGGCGAGUCGCGCCGCCCCCUGUCGCGGGCGCGUUUUGGCGGGAGGAGGAAGAAGUGUCUGGUUGCUUGGGCCCGCGUGGCAGAGAAAGAAAGGAGAGGAGGGGGAAGAAGGAGGCCGGGUGCGCGGCCGUUAGCUGGGCCGCGGCCUGGUGGCCCAGUGAAGCGCGUGAGGUCAGCCGAAAUCGGAAAAAGGCCGGAGGCCCGGCGCAGCUAGUAGGCCGACGUCGCGAAAGAAAAAGAAAAAGAAAGAGGGCCGUGGGCCGGUGUCGGGCCAGAGAAAGGGGAAGGAAAAGAGAAUCGGCCCACGGGGCCCGUCACAGAAAUUUCUAGGAGUGUCCAAAAUUAGUGAAACCAAUUUUGUUAGGCUUGUUUUAUUUUUCUUUAUGCAUUAAAAUUUUUACACCCUAGAAAAAUAAUAAAAAUUCGGGUAUUUAUUUAAUGCCUUCCUUUUAGGGUAAUUAAA
rnacentral:lncRNA from 1 species